rnacentral:lncRNA from 1 species
UCGUUGAGACGUGUAAACGAUAAAUUUGUUUUUGCAUCUGUCGUUUAAAUAAUUACGAGCACGUGUUGUUUUCGCAAAGUCCUGGUUAUUUAUUUCCCGCACUUUUACCUGUUUGUUUACAGUAAGUGAGUGUAAUCUAUUUUUGUCUGACAACGUGGGGUCGAUAAAGUUUAUUAAACGAUGUAUUUGUUUCUAGCAGCUUAACGUUUACUAACCGAUAGUCAUCGAUGACAAAAUUUCGGGUUAGAAACAAAUGCACUCUUAGUCUCUCGU